rnacentral:tRNA from 1 species
GGCAAUAUGGCCGAGUGGUUAAGGCGUGGUGUUCAAGCCACCAUGGAGCGAUCCGCUUGGGUUCGAAUCCCAAUGUUGCCA